rnacentral:rRNA from 1 species
UACGUAGGGGGCUAGCGUUGUCCGGAAUCAUUGGGCGUAAAGCGCGUGUAGGCGGUCCGGUAAGUCCGCUGUGAAAGUCGGGGGCUCAACCCUCGGAUGCCGGUGGAUACUGUCGGGCUUGAGUACGGAAGAGGCGAGUGGAAUUCCUGGUGUAGCGGUGAAAUGCGCAGAUAUCAGGAGGAACACCAGUGGCGAAGGCGGCUCACUGGCUCGAUACUGACGCUGAGGUGCGAAAGCGUGGGGAGCAAACAGG